ensembl:lncRNA
GGCGGCAGGGUAGCCUAGUGGUUAGAGUGUAGAGGCGGCAGGGUAGCCUAGUGGUUAGAGUGCAGAGGCGGCAGGGCAGCCUAGUGGUUAGAGUGUGAGGCGGCAGGGUAGCCUAGUGGUUAGAGUGUAGAGGCGGCAGUGUAGCCUAGUGGUUAGAGUGUAGAGGAGGCAGGGUAGCCUAGUGGUUAGAGUGUAGAGGAGGCAGGGUAGCCUAGUGGUUAGAGUGUAGAGGAGGCAGGUAGCCUAGUGGUUAGAGUGUAGAGGCGGCAGGUAGCCUAGUGGUUAGAGUGUAGAGGCGGCAGAGUAGCCUAGUGGUUAGAGUGUAGAGGUGGCAGGGUAGCCUAGUGGUUAGAGUGUAGAGGUGGCAGGGUAGCCUAGUGGUUAGAGUGUAGAGGUGGCAGGUAGCCUAGUGGUUAGAGUGUAGAGGUGGCAGGUAGCCUAGUGGUUAGAGUGUAGAGGCGGCAGGGUAGUCUAGUGGUUAGAGUGUAGAGGCGGCAGGGUAGCCUAGUGGUUAGAGUGUAGAGGCGGCAGGGUAGCCUAGUGGUUAGAGUGUAGAGGCGGCAGGGUAGCCUAGUGGUUAGAGUGUAGAGGCGGCAGGGGUAGCCUAGUGGUUAGAGUGUAGAGGCGGCAGGGGUAGCCUAGUGGUUAGAGUGUAGAGGCGGCAGGGUAGCCUAGUGGUUAGAGUGUAGAGGGCGGCAGGGUAGCCUAGUGGUUAGAGUGUAGAGGUGGCAGGGUAGCCUAGUGGUUAGAGUGUAGGGCGGCAGGGUAGCCUAGUGGUUAGAGUGUAGAGGCGGCAGGGUAGCCUAGUGGUUAGAGUGUAGAGGGGGCAGGGUAGCCUAGUGGUUAGAGUGUAGAGGCGGCAGGGUAGCCUAGUGGUUAGAGUGUAGAGGCGGCAGGGUAGCCUAGUGGUUAGAGUGUAGAGGCGGCA